GACACAAUUUCUCCUCACAAUAUCAAUAUGAUAUCAAGCAAGUAGGCAAUGAGAAUUUUUAAAAAAAUAUCAAUGAUGAGAUUAUUAGUUGAUCCAAUACCAAAGUCUCUGAACUAACAUCAUGAGAAUUGUAUGGCAGAUAGUAAGGAGAAUUACCAAUGAGAUCUUGGGAGUGAAAGGACUAACAUAACAUAAAAGAAUGAACUUUGUCUCAAACAUGCAUAUUUUUAUUCAACACAGUGGAACUAGACUUAUUUUGGUGCCCUAUCUGUUUCAUAAUGUUUGAGAGGCAAUUGGAUUACUGUGGAUUCUAAUAACAAGACAUGAGCAAACUUAGCUGAGCACUUGCCAAGAAGAAGAAGAUUGAUGAGGAUGCUUUAGACACAAUCUCAAUUGCAUCUGUGGUGCGUGGAAACACAUGGACAUUCAGAGAAGAGUCAAGAAGAAGCAGAAUUUUGAAAAAGGGGCAAGAGCAGGCAAAAAGUAUUUCCAGAUGA